rnacentral:rRNA from 1 species
CUGGCUCAGGACGAACGCUGGCGGCGUGCUUAACACAUGCAAGUCGAGCGGAAAGGCCACUUCGGUGGUACUCGAGCGGCGAACGGGUGAGUAACACGUGAGUAAUCUGCCCUCCACUUUGGGAUAGCCACCGGAAACGGUGAUUAAUACCGGAUAUGACCUUGGCCCGCAUGGGUUGUGGUGGAAAGUUUUUCGGUGGGGGAUGUGCUCGCGGCCUAUCAGCUUGAUGGUGGGGUAAUGGCCUACCAUGGCUUCGACGGGUAGCCGGCCUGAGAGGGUGACCGGCCACACUGGGACUGAGACACGGCCCAGACUCCUACGGGAGGCAGCAGUGGGGAAUAUUGGACAAUGGGCGGAAGCCUGAUCCAGCAACGCCGCGUGAGGGAUGACGGCCUUCGGGUUGUAAACCUCUUUCAGCACAGACGAAGCGAAAGUGACGGUA